ACAUUCUUUUCUAUGUUUCAGAUCUUCGUGAUGACAGGGGUUAUCUUGCUGAUCAUAUGGGAGCCAACGCCAUAACAUCUGCUCAGGGGGAGGAGCUAAGGAAGCAAAUUGGUGCUGCAGCUUAUAUUGAGUGCAGUUCUAAGACUCAACAGAAUGUCAAAGCUGUUUUUGAUACUGCCAUUAAGGUUGUUCUUCAACCUCAAAGAAGGAAGGAGAUGGUUCGGAAGAAAAGACAUCGACGGUCUGGUUGCUCGAUUGCGUGAGUACUUCCAUUCAUAAGCUCCUUGAUAUGUUUCUUUGUUGCCCAAAAUGUAUUGCUGUCUGGGAUUAGAUUUAGUUAGUAUUUGCUCAUUAUUUAUUUAUUUAUUUAUUUUUAUAGAUUUAAUGACACAAAGUAUUGUAUUUGCUCAUUAUUGAUAAGCUUAUUUAGAAGCUAAAAUUUCAACAGAAGAUAUUAGAGAGAAGUAAUAAAAGUAAGUGAUGAUAACAUUAAAAUUCUAAACACCCCAUGUGAAAUUGAACUAGUGAAUGUUUUGCUGUUUCCUUCAAUUUAGUACCCUAAUCAGAUAGAAAUAAAGUACAUUGUUAGUAACAUGGGGACUUGGGUUGAGAGUAUAUUGAUGAAAUUUGAAAUUAAAAAAUAACUUUAUAAAUAAAAUGGCAAAUAAAGAUGCUUCUCUGUUUGGUAAUACUGCUUUCUUGUCUUCUUGGCUUGAGCCAAGCUCUAAAUUAAUAUAAUGGGGGGACCUCAAUUGACCUGAAAAUAGUCUUGGGAGAGUACUUGGAAUGGUCU